rnacentral:rRNA from 1 species
AUUGAACGCUGGCGGCAUGCCUUACACAUGCAAGUCGAACGGCAGCACGGGAGCAAUCCUGGUGGCGAGUGGCGAACGGGUGAGUAAUAUAUCGGAACGUGCCCAGUCGUGGGGGAUAACGUAGCGAAAGCUACGCUAAUACCGCAUACGAUCUAUGGAUGAAAGCGGGGGAUCGCAAGACCUCGCGCGAUUGGAGCGGCCGAUAUCAGAUUAGGUAGUUGGUGAGGUAAAGGCUCACCAAGCCGACGAUCUGUAGCUGGUCUGAGAGGACGACCAGCCACACUGGGACUGGGACACGGCCCAGACUCCUACGGGAGGCAGCAGUGGGGAAUUUUGGACAAUGGGCGCAAGCCUGAUUCAGCAAUGCCGCGUGCAGGAUGAAGGCCUUCGGGUUGUAAACUGCUUUUGUACGGAACGAAACGGCGAGCUCUAAUACAGUUUGCUAAUGACGGUACCGUAAGAAUAAGCACCGGCUAACUACGUGCCAGCCGCCGCGGUAA